rnacentral:rRNA from 1 species
AUUGAACGCUGGCGGCAGGCCUAACACAUGCAAGUCGAGCGGGGUUUUCAGACCUAGCGGCGGACGGGUGAGUAAUGCGUAGGAAGCUGCCCGAUAGAGGGGGAUACCAGUUGGAAACGACUGUUAAUACCGCAUAAUGUCUACGGACCAAAGUGUGGGACCUUCGGGCCACAUGCUAUCGGAUGCGCCUACGUGGGAUUAGCUAGUUGGUGAGGUAAUGGCUCACCAAGGCGACGAUCUCUAGCUGGUUUGAGAGGAUGAUCAGCCACACUGGAACUGAGACACGGUCCAGACUCCUACGGGAGGCAGCAGUGGGGAAUAUUGGACAAUGGGCGCAAGCCUGAUCCAGCCAUGCUGCGUGUGUGAAGAAGGCCUUCGGGUUGUAAAGCACUUUCAGCGAGGAGGAAGGGGUGUGUGUUAAUAGUACACACCUUUGACGUUACUCGCAGAAGAAGCACCGGCUAACUCUGUGCCAGCAGCCGCCGUAAUAC